AUGCAAGUCGAGCGGUAACAGGGGUAGCUUGCUACCCGCUGACGAGCGGCGGACGGGUGAGUAAUGCAUAGGAAUCUGCCCGAUAGUGGGGGAUAACCUGGGGAAACCCAGGCUAAUACCGCAUACGUCCUACGGGAGAAAGGGGGCUCCGGCUCCCGCUAUUGGAUGAGCCUAUGUCGGAUUAGCUAGUUGGUGAGGUAAUGGCUCACCAAGGCAACGAUCCGUAGCUGGUCUGAGAGGAUGAUCAGCCACAUCGGGACUGAGACACGGCCCGAACUCCUACGGGAGGCAGCAGUGGGGAAUAUUGGACAAUGGGCGAAAGCCUGAUCCAGCCAUGCCGCGUGUGUGAAGAAGGCCCUCGGGUUGUAAAGCACUUUCAGCGAGGAAGAACGCCUAGUGGUUAAUACCCAUUAGGAAAGACAUCACUCGCAGAAGAAGCACCGGCUAACUCCGUGCCAGCAGCCGCGGUAAUACGGAGGGUGCAAGCGUUAAUCGGAAUUACUGGGCGUAAAGCGCGCGUAGGUGGCUUGAUAAGCCGGUUGUGAAAGCCCCGGGCUCAACCUGGGAACGGCAUCCGGAACUGUCAAGCUAGAGUGCAGGAGAGGAAGGUAGAAUUCCCGGUGUAGCGGUGAAAUGCGUAGAGAUCGGGAGGAAUACCAGUGGCGAAGGCGGCCUUCUGGACUGACACUGACACUGAGGUGCGAAAGCGUGGGUAGCAAACAGGAUUAGAUACCCUGGUAGUCCACGCCGUAAACGAUGUCGACCAGCCGUUGGGUGCCUAGCGCACUUUGUGGCGAAGUUAACGCGAUAAGUCGACCGCCUGGGGAGUACGGCCGCAAGGUUAAAACUCAAAUGAAUUGACGGGGGCCCGCACAAGCGGUGGAGCAUGUGGUUUAAUUCGAUGCAACGCGAAGAACCUUACCUACUCUUGACAUCCUGCGAACUUGUGAGAGAUCACUUGGUGCCUUC
rnacentral:rRNA from 1 species